GCACCCCUAUAUCAAUCCGAAGCUUCCAUUUAAAUACAUUUAUAUUCGAAUGAAGUACAAGAGAUGAAGUACAAGAGAUGACAGGACUUACAUAAGGACAGAACAAAUACCAAUUCCUGAAGGAUUGUCAAUCCUAGAAAUCGUCAACGAUAUAAAGACAAGCAUAAGUACAAGAAAACAGAAACGUCUGCAUUUCUUGUUCAUUUCCUGAUUAUUUGAGGCUGGAAUUUUACUCCUCUUCCAAAACAAUUCCUUUAGCAAAUUAAACGAAAACAAGGGGUUACAUUUUCAAGAAAACAAGGGAUUUUGCGGCAAUAAAAAAGAAAAUGUGGAAAUAAGAAAGAAGAGAAAAAGAAAAACAAAAUGGGAAAAAUGUAUUUGAAAACUACAAAUACACGAACACACAAUUUGAAAACUACAAAUACACGAACACACAAUUUGAAAACUACAAAUACACGAACACACAAUUUGAAAACUACAAAUACACGAACUGGACGUUUUUCAUCUUCCCUCGCACUCUGACACUCAUUAUAGACAAUUGUCCCAAGAAAUUAUUUAUUCGAUUUAAAUUAUACAUGAAUUAUUUAUUAUUAGGAAAUCAAACUGGUUGUAUUUCUCUGAUCAUUGGCUAUAUCGUGGUCAACACAAUUACCAUAAAAUCACUGAUUAAAAUACCUCACUACAGUAAAUUACAAAUAUAAAAUAACUUCACUGACUAAUUAAACAACCAUUCUAUACUGACUGAAUGGCACAGUAUAAAACAAUUCCAGCAAAAUUGUUCAUCCAAACUUGAACAGUUUUAUUAUGUGAAGCAUGAACUUCUACAAAACCAUAGUUAAUAAAAUAGACGGUUUGGAAACCAUUAGAAUAACAAUAUAACUAUUAUCUAUGUUAGUCAACGUUUAUUCAUAAAUCAGGUCCUUCACCGUCACGUGCGUAUUGUGUUUUUGCCCAACUAACCAAUAGCAAUGUUUUAGUAUAGUUAACAGCAUGGUUUCGAGUGCAAUUUGGAUACAACUAUUAUUAAUAAUUUACGUAAAAAUGUUAAUAAUUUACAUAAAAAUGUUCGAGACAAUUGUAUUUUUAACUUACGCGUUUAUAGCGAACAUUCCACUGGCAAAGUUUUCCCAGCUUUGUUAUAUCACAUUAUACAACGCUAACAGCUUGCAAAAUCCCACUCAACAGUGGAAUGUUUGUUUGUCUUGUCUAAGGUAAAGGCUUUUCCAUUUAAAAAUAAAGAUAAAAGCCAUAUUUUCUACGCGAAGUCAACUUUUACUUUAUGUAGCGCGGCGCCAUGUUCGUUUUGUUUUGAAGCAAUCUGUGACCGUUACUUCUUUAAACUAAAUUGCUUUAAACUCACUGGUUGAUUUUAUCAUCAUCAUGUUUUUCCACCAAUCAGAUCAGUUUGUUACAGAAAAUUGCACUGUGAUCACAGAAAAUUGCACUGUGAUCACAGAAAAUUGCACUGUGAUUACAGAAAAGGGAUUAACUGCACUGAAAUCAACCAAUCACAAUCAAGUAAUAUUUUUAUGUAUAUUAUUACGAAAGUUACCUUUAUUAUAUAGAUACUGAUAUUUACGCACGGUUUUAUUAAUGUGAAAAGCCCUUUCAAGAUUAACGUCAACCGAUCUGAAACGCGAAACGAUUAUUUCACACGUGUGAAAAACGUUUCGCCCAAUUGUUUACGUACGAGCGAAUUCGUUCACUGUCGGCAAUGCUUUUGGCAGAAUUUUAUUUAGUUUGCUGCCUUUUUCUUGCUGUUUAAAGUCAAUUUUUAAUUUGAAUUGGACAAUUUAACUCGUAUGUUUGCAAAAGAUUUAUAACACUACAAAAGACAAAUAUGAAUCUAUUUUUUGAAAAGGAAUACGAAAGACACAAAAAAUAUCAUGUCAGUUGCACGAAAACAACAGCGAUGUAAGUUGCAUUAUAUUUAGUUUUUGAAACGAAUUAUUAUUUUUCUCUUAGUUAAACGAAAAAAUAUUGUUUGUUAUAGUGUUCUAGGCCUUGUUGACUAUGUAUUGAUGUCAAAUUUAGUUUGAGAGUAAAGUCCUUUACAAGUGAUUUAAAGAAAAUAUACAAUGCCAAAAUGAAGUUUUGUUUGCACUUUGCAGUGCUUUAUCUUGACUUUGCAUGGCCCUUGGCUUUUGAAUGAACCAAAUUACGUUAAAUAAAGGCAAUCCAUUUAAUAGAAAAUAUCAGUAUCUAUAAAAUAAACAAAUUUAGUAAUGGGAAGUGCUUUUGUAUGGUAUUUUCGCACUUGUUAAUUUGUUUUCGCAAAAUUCACUCGCUCGUUACACUCGCUCGUUCGUUCUGUGAAAACAAAUUAACGCGUGCGAAAAUACCAUACGUCAGCGCUUCCCAUUAAGAAAUCUC